ACGGGCGAUUAACGCAAACACUUUCUUUUUGACCCUCCUGCCGUGCCGUAGCGGGGUGAACUUGGCUGCAGUUUACUUGUUACUGAUGAGCCACAAGCGAGCAGAAGUGGCCAAAGGAAAAUCUACAUUAUGGAAAUAUCAGGUUCAAAGCCAUGGCAAGUUGUUCUCCCGACAAGAAAGGACAAUUUUUCGCCAUGAGAAGAGGAGACAUCCCUGCAGCAAACACCUGCUGCGCGCAUUGUUCGAUUCGUGUUACAAAGCAUACAAUUUAAACAAUUUAAAGGCUGUUCAUACCAUUUCAAGAGAACACAAUCAUCGAUUGUGCAACUCCACCAAGAACUGUCGAAGGAAAAAAGAAUGGAAGGAACAAAAGUUUUUUGCCUGUUUCUUAUGCCGUUACUCUGUGACACCCAAGCAAACCUUUCACUUCCUGCCUUUGAGUCAAACCAAACUACCAAUGGUCCAAAAAACUCUUUUGAUAUGGUCAUCAACGGCACGCGAGCAGACUGCCUGGUUGAUGCGGAGAUAGGUCUGAUUGCUGUAGGAACUGCAGGUGGUCUGAUUGUGUGCCUAUUGGUAGCCACUGUGGUAUUGGCAUGCCAAGUCUACCACAUUAGGCGCCAGGUUUAUGCUCCAAGAACCUCCAACUCCAACAUGUACUUGGUGAGUGGUACGGACUACUGGGACACUAAUCCACCUGAUAUUGGAGGACUGGUCGGGCCUUGCGAAACCAGUUUAAUGAUGGACGAGGUGAGAGCAGAGGAAGAGAAUCGGGCUAAAAAACUCAAGCAAUGUAAAGGGGCUCGGGCAGAAAUUGAUCAUGGGGCUUUUGCUAUGGCUUUUGAUCCUGAAGAUAAAAAAAGUCAGAUGCUGAGCUCAAUUUAAAAAAACUAUUGUUUAGAAAAUCUAAAGGACAUUGAGGACAAGCCUCUUGUUGUGUGGCGGUCAUGAAAGUUUGGUAAACUCCAGCAAAACCACUGAAGAUGACAGCAAUGAUUCAGUUCAGCAUUAAUUUAACAGUGUUUAGUUUUCCUGGAGAUAAAAGAAAAAGGUGCCUUAACCAGUGGCCCCCAACUUUUUGGGCCAACAAACCUGCUCAAGUUUCCACAAUUUUUUGGUGGACCAGCGGAUUGGGCUGACGGUCUUUAUAACAAUCUAAUAUAGUGAUUUAAGGCAAUACUGCUACUGUGAGUUACCAAUGUAUAAAACCAAUAAAGGCAUCCAGUAACAUCAAAUUAAAGUGGAUACUG